rnacentral:rRNA from 1 species
AACAUCUAACUUGGUAGGAGAGCGUUCUCUGCGGGGUGAAGCAUGAGCGGAAGCGCGUGUGGACUUCAGAGAAGUGAGAAUGCCGGAAUGAGUAGCGAGAAUUAUGUGAGAAUCAUAAUGGCCGAAAGCCUCAGGUUUUAGAAGGAAGGUUCGUCCGCUUCUAGCUAGCCGGGAGCUAAGGCGAGGCCGAAAGGCGUAGCCGAUGCACAUACGGUAGACAAUCCGUAGCUGCCAAAAGAUUUAAAUUAGGGGACACUCUGAAAGGGUACAUCCCGGGCGUUGGUUGUCCCGGGCGUAAGGGAGCGAAUUAUUCGCGAAGUGUGCUUGGACGGAGGCGAGAAAAGCCUAAUGUACAUCUGCGGCACCCGUACCGCAAACCGACACAGGUAGGUAGGAGGAGAACUCUAAGGCCAACGGGAGAAGAGUUGUUAAGGAACUCGGCAAAUUGACCCCGUAACUUCGGGAAAAGGGGUGCUCAUAGCAAUAUGAGCCGCAGUGAAUAGGCCCAGGCAACUGUUUAUCAAAAACACAGGUCUCUGCUAAAUCGAAAGAUGAAGAAUAGGGGCUGACGCCUGCCCGGUGCUGGAAGGUUAAGAGGAGGAGUGCAAGCCCCGAAUCGAAGCCCCAGUAAACGGCGGCCGUAACAAUAACGGUCCUAAGGUAGCGAAAUUCCUUGUCGGGUAAGUUCCGACCCGCACGAAUGGCGUAAUGAUCUGGGCACUGUCUCAACAGCUCACCCGGCGAAAUUGUAGUACCGGUGAAGGUGCCGGUUACCCGCGACAAGACGGAAAGACCCCAUGGAGCUUUACUGUAACCUGAUAUUGGGUUUCGGUAUUUUAUGUACAGGAUAGGUGGGAGACUAAGAAACAAGGGCGCCAGCCUUUGCGGAGUCAACCUUGGGAUACCACUCUUAAAAUACUGGAAUUCUAACCUGCGGCCGUGAAUCCGGUCGGGGGACAUUGUCAGGCGGGCAGUUUGACUGGGGCGGUCGCCUCCGAAAGAGUAACGGAGGCGCUCAAAGGUUCGCUCAGCACGGACGGAAACCGUGCUUUUGAGUGUAAACGCAUAAGCGAGCCUAACUGCGAGACUGACGGGUCGAGCAGUAACGAAAGUUGGAGUUAGUGAUCCGGCGGUAUGUGAGUGGAAAUGCCGUCGCUCAACGGAUAAAAGCUACCCUGGGGAUAACAGGCUGAUCUCCCCCAAGAGUCCACAUCGACGGGGAGGUUUGGCACCUCGAUGUCGGCUCAUCACAUCCUGGGGCUGUAUUCGGUCCCAAGGGUUCGGCUGUUCGCCGAUUAAAGUGGUACGCGAGCUGGGUUCAGAACGUCGUGAGACAGUUCGGUCCCUAUCUGUCGUGGGCGUAGGAAAUUUGAGGGGAGCUGUCCCUAGUACGAGAGGACCGGGAUGGACGCACCUCUGGUGCACCAGUUGUUCUGCCAAGGGCAUAGCUGGGUAGCUACGUGCGGAUUGGAUAAACGCUGAAAGCAUCUAAGCGUGAAGCCAACCUCAAGAUUAGAUUUCCCAUAGCAUAAGCUAGUAAGGUCCCCGGUAGACUACCGGGUUGAUAGGCUGCAGGUGUAAGCGCAGUGAUGUGUGUGCCAGGCAGUACUAAUAGACCGAGGGCUUGAC